AGCAGGCGGCUGUGUAAACGCGUCAACUAUUUAUGGGAUUAAUAAUUCCGAGCACUUCUUCACGCUCGAUGAACCAAAAACCCCUAACCCGCCCCUUUCAAUUAAUGGCAACUGUGUCGAAACUAGUUUCAAUUUCGAACUCAAAUUACCAGUUUCAACCAGUUCGAAAUAUCUCAUUAAUAACCUCCUAUUUGUUACUGCAAUCGGUAAACUGUAAAUACUCGAAUUGUUUGCUGCUGCGAAGCGUUCUUGUGUUUCCCCUAACUCGUUAAUUAGCAAUAAAUAGAGCGUUCUCAUUAUCGGGGCGCAUUCGCAUCGCUCUAAAAUGAAGGUUCGAGUCACGGUGUUGGCUAUCCUUGCUGUCGUUGCUACCGCACUGGCGUCGGUGACUUGGGAGGGUGACUGUCACUGCUGGGACGAGUUCUAUAAAUUCAGUAAAAACGGUGUUUAUUUUUGUAAAGGAAUCAAACAUAAUCGAGUUUUCAUGUGCAACGACGUCAAGCCACCGAUCUGCAAGUGUGAAGUCGAUGGACACAUUAUUAGUUUGGACUUGGGCGAAACCAACUGUCUGUCGGUGGUUCAGGGACUCGCGGGCGUGUGGUGUCACAACAAGAAGGACUUCGAGAAGUACUUCUCGACGCAUCCUGAGCAUGACAUAACUGGAACAUAUUAAUAAAUAGUACGGUGGAAGGGCGGUCGUAACGAAGAGCACACUCUGGCGCCACCUGCCAACGAGAAGCCAAACUUCUAACUUAAGUCGUUUAUAUUUAUGGCCAUUUUGUUACAACUCUGGCGAAUAAAACCGUGUAAAUGUC